CUCCAGCAGAAACAUUGAGGUGAGAAGCUUCAAUAAUACCAUGACAACAGAAGUAAAAGAUUGGAAACUAAAAUGCUGCUGCUGCUGCUGCUGAUGAUGAUGAUGAUGACAUUGCUACGGUAAGGCAGUAAAAUGGACGAGAAAGCAUUGGAACCAUCUUCAAAGAGUAAUAAUGACAGAAACGAUGCACCUGAGUUGACUGCCGAAACUGGGAGAAUGUUUAAGUAUGGCCAAUUUGAAAACGAAGACGUUUCAGUCAGUGCGCCAGGCGGAGAUCAAGCAGCAACAUUGUCCAUUGAUAUUCAAGACACACAGAUCUCCACUUCCUCUUCCCUUCAUGUCGGAUUCAAAAAUGGUAAAGAUGAACUGAAUAUUAAAUCGACUUCACAACCUUUGAAUGCCUCAUCAACAAAGUUCAUGCCUGAUCCUGCUGGGUGCAAGGCAAGCACUCCAAAAUCAACUUUAGAAGCCAUGCAGUUGAGGGUACAGCGAGUCGUCCAGCACAUUGUAUUUCGCAUCUUCACACUGAUAUUGAUCCUCACUGAUUUUAUACUUGUCAUCGUUGACUUGUCCAUCUACGAAUGUGAUACAAAUAACGGGCUAGAAAUAACGUCACAUAUCAUCAUUACAUAUUUCAUGCUUGAAGUUGGUGCACGGAUAUUCUAUAAAGGGCGAAGAUUUUUCUAUAACUGGAUAGAUAUCGUGGACAUGGUGGUGGUUGUUGCAUCCUUCUUCACCGAUAUGAUAUUUGCCAGUAUUUAUGGAAUAAACUCCUGUGGAAAAAUUAUGAAGAAAGACCACCACAGUUACGUCAAACUUCUUGUUGCUGGACGUGUUGUGAGAAUUUUCCGUAUUUUGAGGAUUCUUUACUUCAUGUAUAUUCAGCAUCGACAUUUGACAUCUGCCUCUCGUAAAAUAGUCUCACAAAACAAACGCCGUUACCAGAGAGAUGGUUUUGAUUUGGAUCUUUGUUACAUCACAGAGCGAGUUAUCGCCAUGUCAUUCCCUUCCACUGGUUUAAUGGCAUUCUAUCGAAACCCUAUACAUGAAGUGGUCAGGUUUUUUGAAACGAAACAUAAAAACCAUUACAAGAUCUACAACUUGUGUAGUGAACGCGAUUAUGAUGAAAGUCUCUUCCAUAACAGAGUUGAACGAAUUUGCAUCGAUGACCACAACGUGCCAUCACUGAAGAAAAUGGUCGAAUUUUGUUCUGAUGUACGAGAAUGGAUGGCAGCAGACAAGAAUAAUAUCAUUGCUGUUCACUGUAAAGGUGGUAAAGGACGAACAGGAACCAUCAUCUGUGUGUGGCUUAUAGACUGUGGACUGUUUCAGGAAGCAAAGGAUGUUUUAGAAUAUUUUGGAGACAGACGCACAGAUCUUAGUGUUGGUAAAAUGUUUCAAGGUGUACAAACGCCAAGUCAGAGCCGGUAUGUCGGUUAUUUUGAAAAAAUGAAACAGGAUUACAAUGGAAAAUUGCCUGAGAAGAAAGAAUUGAAUCUGAUCUCAAUAAAAAUCACCGCAAUUAAAGGUGUUGGCAAUGGUGACGGUAGUGACCUCAGUAUAGAGAUACGUACCGCUGAAAACCUCAUCUAUGAGUGCCACUUAGGGGCAAGUAUUAACUGUCAGGUGAUUAAAUACACAGACAGUGACAGUAUCAUGAUCAACCUGCACCAAUGUCCAGUUCUGGUCAAUGAUAUAAAAGUUAAAUUCAAUUCUACAAAUGUAAAAAAAACUUCCAAAGGGAUAUGAUAAUUGUCCGUUUUAUUUCUGGUUUCACACAUCAUUCAUUGAAGAUCACAGUUUAUAUUUGUCUCGAGAUGAAAUUGAUAACCCACACAAACCAAAAUUAUGGAAUAUUUACAGAGAGAAUUUUGCUAUUAUAGCUUCAUUUGAAGACGUUAAGGAUUGAG
rnacentral:misc_RNA from 1 species